UGUUUCAUAAUUUAAUUUUCUAUAAUACUUAUAAGAAUUAAUUUAUCAAUAAAUUUACAAAAUUGUACUCAAUGUUUGACAAAGUAUUGACUUCGAUCUACUGUCAACUAUCAUGUCGAAACUUAUGCACAUUUAACAAAAAAUCCUGUUUUGAUUUUUUAUUACGAAUCCUAAAGCCCAUAUGAUUCAUGUAGUUGAUUAUUUUUUUGCAACACUAUAAGUUGAAUUUUAUUAACGCAUACGGAAAACCGUGCGUAAAGUGUCUCUUUUUAUAACAGGUGCGUAUACAGUAAAUACUUUAUAAUGAUUCUUUUCUUCCUCAAUGGUUUAUUUAUAGUCAUAUGAAUGUAUGAGGAAUAAUUUGUAGAUUUUCUAGAUGAUUUGAAGAACAAUGCUUUAUUAACAUUUUAUAAAUAAAUAAAUAACCCCAGAAAACUAUGAAAAAUAAUUUUUUUUGGGAAAUCAAAAUAUAAUAUAUAUAUAUAUAUGUUGCAAGACGCGCGAAACCUUUUUUUGAGUCGAAAUAACGGUACGUGUGUGUCAUUGGGAUCUCGCUUUUCAAUUCAUUUAAAUAUUUGCAUAUUCACCUUUUUCACACAGAUACGCCUUUAUUUUUUUGCAUGUGUUGCCGUCUGAAAAUUUCUUUAUUUUUAUUUGAGAAUAGCCCAAGGCCAGAAGGGUUGUAAGGGGUUGUCCUAUUAAGUUACACAUUUAGGUUCUUUGCAUCCAUUAUAAGAUUGAUAUAUGCUUAUUCCAAAAGUAAAAUCUAUAUGUUACGUUACAAAUUUUUAAGAAAUCUAAUUAAUUGAAAAUAAAAUAUUUAAUUUUCUGCAUGUUAAUAGAAAAUUAAACAAGUUCAAUAAAUGUUGAUGAAUUUAAAUGUUAUUUUUCUGAUUCGUCAUUAGUCAAUAAAUCCCUAGCUCAUGAUUCAAAAGGGAUAUAUUGAUUACGCUCUCAAGUACUAUAGGGAAAUGAUAAUGGACUUGUUUUUAACUCUUAUAUGAAACUCAAGCUAUAUGUAGCAUCAAGUAUUGUUGGCUUUUUCUCCUCUUUUAGUAGGAGGGAUUUCCAUAUAGUCUAUAGAGAGACGGUAAAGAAUCUUAUAUGUAUUGAUGUUAUUGGACUGAACCCUCUAUCAUGGAGGCAGCAUGUUUUCGGGAUUUCACAUAAAACAUUAUAAUGGUUCAAGCAGAAAUAAAUACUCUUAAAAUAUUAAACAAUUAAAUUUAUUCUUUCUUUUUUUAUUAUUUAUUAGGUCUUUGUCCAUAUUUUAUAUCUCUUUUUCUAUUAACGCAGGAGGAUAUAACUAUUACGAUAUCAAUAUAGGAAUGAAAACUAUGUUAUCGCAGAUAAUUUAAUUGCUUGAUUAACAUAUUGAAAUUUUUUGUGAAAAAUGGUGUUUUGACAUGCAAUAUUUAAGAACUUAUUUGGUACACCGAUUGGUGAGUAGUGUACAUUGUUUCUUUUUAUUACAUAGUCAAUCUAAUUUUCAGGUGUCAUUAAUCAAGUCGCGUUUUUAUCAAUGACUUUAUGAGAAAUUAAUUAAGAUAAACUGUACAGUAGGUUUGCUAUAAAUAAAUAAGUGUACAAUAGUCCAGAAAAAGAGUUUCUUCAAUCAUGAAUUUUGUUAAUAUUUAAAAGUUGAUAAAAUCCAAUUUAUAAUAUAAUAAGUUUGACCAUAUAAUGAGCUUUUGAAUCUGACUUUAAGAAGAAUUUAUAAUUUUCUAAUAAAUAGCAUUGUGUCUAGUAUAAAGUAUAGUUUUAAUUCUUACUAUUCUUUUAUAGAUAUCUUUAGAUUAAAAGAAGACGCGCACGCAUAGUAAAGUUACGUGAAUUGGACGCAUGUGUUAGUACUGUUCAAAAUGGUUCUGUAUAGAUACAUGGAAGCCGAUGCAGCCAAUGCUACGUUCGACUGUACAGUUCCCGCCCGUCGGUUCUGCGAGAUGGUAGGAGUCAGUUCAACAGUCUCCUCUUUGAUUUUUCUCUUACGAUGUUUCUUAUACUACAAUUCGGUUAAACAUAUAAUUAUUAUUUGUACAAUUAUUUUAUUUUCUCCAUCCUGAUUGAUUCCUUUGUUAACGAUUUAGAAACAAAAAAAUACUUGAGCGCAAAAUUCUAUCUAUCAUAUUUAAUUCAAAGUGUUUUGUUGUAAAUAAUUCUUUAAACUUAGGAAAAACUGUAACAAAAUUUUUCUUUAUAUUUUACAAAUUAUAGAAUUCUAAUAAUUGUACUAAAUUAACUUUAAAAUAUUAAAAUAAAACUUAUUUGUAAUUAAGUAAUUUAUUAAGUAUGUUCAAAAUAAUGACAUAAAUUUUAUUAUUAUUAUUAUUAUUAUUAUAUAAUUAUUAGAAAAGUUUCGAAAAAAAUGUAAACUUAUUGUUAUUUAAAUAAAAUUCCGGAAACUGAAAUUCGAUACUAUUCUUUAAAGAGACGUACACAUUAAAGCAUUAUCAAAUCUCCUGGUCUUUAAUAAACUCCUUUGACACACUUCUGUCUUGUUUACUUUGGAUUCUUCUUCCUUCCGUUUUUCCGGCAGUGGUGAAAUAAUUAUGUCUUUUUUGUGAUUAAUAUGAAUAUAAUACAAGUUGAAUAAUUUUUAAAUAUGUAUGUUUGUGAUAGAGAGAGAUAUAUUUCUUCAAGUGUUUUAUUAUGCGAUUGUAACAAAGUAUUUCAAGAUUUACUGAAACAUAGUUUCUUUCAUUCACGAACAAGGUGUGCUAGAAAGAGGAUGUCCAGUUCCUGAACAUAGGAGAAACAUUGCAUUCUAAAAAAAUUCUUCAAAAUCUUCAGCUCGUAAUGUAGAAACUUCACUUUUAAUUUCUUUAAAAAAGCCGGAAGACUGUUGAUUCAUAGAACACUAUAGUACAAAUUAAAAUUUAAGACUGGAGCAUGUGUCUUCUAAAAAAUUAAUUGGUUCCUCCAAAUAACAUUAGUAGUGUAAGAUGAGUAAAUUAGUCAUUUUUACAUGUUCAAAAGUUUAAAUUAAUUAAAAAUAUUAAAUUUAAUCAAGAGAAACUUUUAAUAUAUAAUUUUGUAGGUAUACGAAGCAACGCUAAAGUAAGAAAAACAAACAAAGGAAUAUAAUAUAUGAUAGAAGAAUUCAAGAUAAAAAAUAAGUUUGGAAGAAUGUUUAGACUACAAAACGUCUACACAUAAGUAGUAUAUCUGACAUUAUUAAGUAUACAAUAUGAAACAAAUGAACGCUUUAAAGAAGGAUAUGGCUUCUUCUAUACAUUUCUCUCCCACGAUAAUAUUUGAAAAAAAUAUUGGACUACUCAUGCUGAUGCAGAUCCAUGAAAAUAAAAUUCCAGGAUGUAUAUGAAACAUAAAAAUACUGCUGUGUAACUGCUUUAAAUCAUUUGUAUUUUGUACAUAUAGUUAUUGAUAACUUGAGAGAAAAUUGAUAAAUAUUUCAGUUAUAUAGUAUACAUUUCGUAAUAAUUCUACUUUUCUGUAGUACCCAUAAUCUGUAAGAACACUACAAUAUCUAAUUGAAUCCUGAACUCACUUUCCAUGUAAUGGAUCAGUAAUUAUAGUUAUUUGGAAAGGCGUGUGAAAAAUGGAUUGAAAAUAUUUUUAAAUCAAGAACUUAACAGAGAAGAAGUAUAUAGAAAUCUAUCAAUUGUAUAUAAAAGAAAGGCUAUAUUUUAUUAAACAUGGAUAUUUUUUCACUCUUAAAAAAUUAAAAUCUUU